CCUACGGGAGGCUGCAGUGGGGAAUAUUGGGCAAUGGGCGCAAGCCUGACCCAGCAACGCCGCGUGAAGGAAGAAGGCUUUCGGGUUGUAAACUUCUUUUCUCAGGGACGAUGAUAGUGACGGUACCGGAGGAAUAAGCCACGGCUAACUACGUGCCAGCCGCCGCGGUAAUACGUAGGUGGCAAGAGUUAUCCGGAUUUACUGGGUGUAAAGGGCGUGUAGGCGGGACUGUAAGUCAGAUGUGAAAACCAUGGGCUCAACCUGUGGCCUGCAUUUGAAACUGUAGUUCUUGAGUGCUGGAGAGGCAGACGGAAUUCCUAGUGUAGCGGUGAAAUGCGUAGAUAUUAGGAGGAACACCAGUGGCGAAGGCGGUCUGCUGGACAGCAACUGACGCUGAGGCGCGAAAGCGUGGGGAGCAAACAGGAUUAGAUACCCCGGUAGUC
rnacentral:rRNA from 1 species